GCAUGCAAAAUUUCAGCCCGAUCCCUCCAGUAGUUUGACCUGUGCGUAGAUAGAUCAGUGGUUAGUCAGUCAGAUUUUCCUUUUAUUUAUU